CCCGGCUCCCCCUCGGCCGGCCUAUCCGCGGCGGAGGAGCGCUCGGGUCCGCGCGACUGCGGCCGCCGCGCCUACCUCACCCCGCCGCGGCCAUGGCGGGCGGCGCCGCGCAGGCCGCCUCCCCCCCGCGCUUCCCCAGUUGGUGUCCGCUUCCCCGGCGGCUGCGGCGACGGCGGCCGCCUCGGCAAGAGGUUCCGGUUCAAGCCGGGGGCACGCGUGUCCGCGCCGGACGGCGGGACUAGCCGACGAGCGGGCGGGCAGCGGGCGUGGGCGCAGCCCCCGGACUCCUCGCGGCGCGGUGCGGCGCGGCCAGGGAGGAUGCUGGCGGCCCUCCCUCGCCAGCGGCGCCCGCCCUCGCCGCAGCCCCCGCCCCGCCCCGUCACCGCCCCUUCCCUCUGCCCUGGAAGCAGAUCGGCGGCCGCGGGGAGGUUCGGGGCGGCGCAGCCCCGCGCGGUUGUGGGAUCGCUCCCGGGGGCCGCUCCUCUCUCGGGCACUGGGGUCGCGGGAGACGUCGUCGGGAGCUCGGUUUCUGGAGGCCCUUCCCCACCCGGCCUCUGCCUCCUCCACUCCCCCGGGCUGGACGGAACGGGGCCCAGCGCGGGAUGCGAGAGGUAUGAUUUCGCUCUGUCGCCCAGGCUGGAGGGCAGUGGCGCAAUCUCGGCUCACUGCAGCCUCGAACUCCUAGGCUGAAGCGAUUCUCCCGCCUCAGCCUCCAAAGUAGCCGGUACUACAGGCGCGCGCCACCACGCCUGGCUAAGGGUCUUACUAUGUCACCCAGACUGAAGUGCAGUGGCAUGAUCACAGGUCAUUGCAUCCUCAACCACCCAGACUCAAGCAAUCCUCCUGUCUCAGCCUUCCAAGUAACUGAGACCACAGAAAUAACCAUGGAUAUGGGUAGAGACAGAGCCAUAUGGAAUGCACACUGCAGUGGUGAACACAUGGCCCAGCUCUGCCAUCAAGGAGAAGGUGAGAACAUGGGGGAAGAUUUUAUCGAAGUUUCUUUUCUGGGGCAUAUGCUCAGGUUAAACACCUGCUCUGUAUCUCUAGCUUCUGACUCCUACCCCUGGCCAGCUCUGUUACUCUAGUACACUGCUAGGCAGGCAGAGUAUGGCCAAAGUAUUCACAACAGUGCAUCACUAAAUCAACUGGGAUCCACACAAUGGAAUAUCCUAAUGCAUCAUUAAAAAUCACAUUGUAAAAGAAGAUUUUAUAACAGAAAAAAAUGCACUGUAUAUGAUACAUUUUUAAAAUGUUACUUAUGCCAGUCACAAUAAAAGACAAUUACACUUAUAUGGGAUAGAGUAGUCAAUAUUAUAGAGACAGAAGGUAGAAAUGGGUCUGGGUGGAAAUUAGAAUGAGAUGUUCUUAGCAUUCCAGUUUUACAAGAUGAAAAGAGUAACGGAGACAGAUGGCAGUGGUGGUUGCAUGACAUUAUGAAUGUACAUAAUUAAAAAUGGGUAAGAUGGCACAGUGAGAUACCAUCUCACACCAGUCAAAAUGGCUAUUACUAAAAAGUCAAAAAAAUAACAGAUGCUGGGGAGCUUGUAGAGAAAAGGGAAUGCUUAUACACUGCUAGUGGCAGUGUAAGUUAGUCCAGCCACUGUGGCAAUUCCUCAAAGAACUUAGAACUAUCAUUUGACCCAGCAAUCCCAUUACUGGGUAUAUACCCAAAGGAAUAUAAAUUGUUCUGCCUUAAAGACACAUGCAUGUGAUUGUUCAUUGCAGCACUCUUUAUAAUAACAAAGACAUGGAAUCAACCUAAAUGCUCAUCAACAGUAGACUGGAUAAAGAAAAUGUGGUUCAUAUACACCAUGGAAUACUAUGCAGCCAUAAAAAAGAAUGAGAUUAUUUCCUUUGCAGGAACAUGAAUGGAGCUGGAGGCCAUCAUCCUUAGUGAACUAACACAGGAGCAGAAAACCAAAUACCACAUGUUCUCAUGUGUAAGUGGGAGCUAAAUGAUGAGAACACAUGGACACAAAGAGGGGAACAACAGACACUGAAGCCUCCUUGAGGGAGGAGGGUAAGAGGAAGGAGAAGAUCAGAAAAGAUAACUACCAGGUACUAUGGUAGCUUAGUACCUGGGUGAUGAAAUAAUCUGUACACCCAACCCUCAUGACAGAAGUUUACCUGUGUAACAAACCUGCACAUGUAUCCCUGAAACUAAAAGUUUUUUAAAAAGUUAUUUAAUAUAUAUAUAUUUUUUUGAGACGGAGUUUUGCUCUUGUUGCCCAGGCUGGAGUGCGGUGGCGCAAUUUCGGCUCACCACAACCUCCGCCUCCCAGGUUCAAGCUAUUCCCCUGCCUCAGCCUCCCUAGUAGCUGGGAUUACAGGCUUGUGCCACCACGCCGGCUAAUUUUGUAUUUUUUGUAGAGACGGGGUUUCUCCAUGUUGGUCAGGCUGGUCUCGAACUCCCGACCUCAGGUGAUCCACCCCCCUCGGCCUCCCAAAGUGCUAGGAUUACAGGCAUGAGCCACUGCGCCCGGCAAAAAGUUAUUUAAUAUUAAUGGGACAAUACUCAUUGCAAGAAUCAGACUUCAAUUGCUAGCAUAAGUAAAUGACAGGCAGGAGAUAUUGAAAAUGCAAUCUUAUAGACAUUCAAGGAGAGGACGCAGGACAUUUCUGUGUCAUAAAUGUACUAUGGAAAAUAAAAAUGAGAAAAAUGGAAAUAAAAUACAAGAAAAGGUUAUGAUAAAUUUCAUAUUAUUUUACCACAAUAAAAAAAUUUUAAUAAAUU
rnacentral:lncRNA from 1 species